UACGUAGGGCGCAAGCGUUGUCCGGAAUUAUUGGGCGUAAAGAGCUCGUAGGUGGCUUGUCACGUCGGGUGUGAGAGCUUGGGGCUUAACUCCAGGUCUGCAUUCGAUACGGGCUGGCUAGAGGUAGGUAGGGGAGAACGGAAUUCCUGGUGUAGCGGUGAAAUGCGCAGAUAUCAGGAGGAACACCGGUGGCGAAGGCGGUUCUCUGGGCCUUACCUGACGCUGAGGAGCGAAAGCGUGGGGAGCGAACAGG
rnacentral:rRNA from 1 species